rnacentral:rRNA from 1 species
GGGUUGUGAGGUUAAGCGACUAAGCGUACACGGUGGAUGCCCUGGCAGUCAGAGGCGAUGAAGGACGUGCUAAUCUGCGAAAAGCGUCGGUAAGGUGAUAUGAACCGUUACAGCCGGCGAUGUCCGAAUGGGGAAACCCAGUGCAAUUCGUUGCACUAUCGUUAACUGAAUACAUAGGUUAACGAGGCGAACCGGGGGAACUGAAACAUCUAAGUACCCCGAGGAAAAGAAAUCAACCGAGAUUCCCCCAGUAGCGGCGAGCGAACGGGGAGCAGCCCAGAGUCUGAAUCAGCUUGUGUGUUAGUGGAACGGUCUGGAAAGUCCGACGGUACAGGGUGAUAGUCCCGUACACCAAAAUGCACAGGCUGUGAACUCGAAGAGUAGGGCGGGACACGUGGUAUCCUGUCUGAAUAUGGGGGACCAUCCUCCAAGGCUAAAUACUCCUGACUGACCGAUAGUGAACCAGUACCGUGAGGGAAAGGCGAAAAGAACCCCGGCGAGGGGAGUGAAAAAGAACCUGAAACCGUGUACGUACAAGCAGUGGGAGCACCUUCGGGUGUGACUGCGUACCUUUUGUAUAAUGGGUCAGCGACUUAUAUUCUGUAGCAAGGUUAACCGUAUAGGGGAGCCGCAGGGAAACCGAGUCUUAACUGGGCGUUAAGUUGCAGGGUAUAGACCCGAAACCCGGUGAUCUAGCCAUGGGCAGGUUGAAGGUUGGGUAACACUAACUGGAGGACCGAACCGACUAAUGUUGAAAAAUUAGCGGAUGACUUGUGGCUGGGGGUGAAAGGCCAAUCAAACCGGGAGAUAGCUGGUUCUCCCCGAAAGCUAUUUAGGUAGCGCCUCGUGAACUCAUCUUCGGGGGUAGAGCACUGUUUCGGCUAGGGGGUCAUCCCGACUUACCAACCCGAUGCAAACUACGAAUACCGAAGAAUGUUAUCACGGGAGACACACGGCGGGUGCUAACGUCCGUCGUGAAGAGGGAAACAACCCAGACCGCCAGCUAAGGUCCCAAAGUCAUGGUUAAGUGGGAAACGAUGUGGGAAGGCACAGACAGCCAGGAUGUUGGCUUAGAAGCAGCCAUCAUUUAAAGAAAGCGUAAUAGCUCACUGGUCGAGUCGGCCUGCGCGGAAGAUGUAACGGGGCUAAACCAUGCACCGAAGCUGCGGCAGCGACACUAUGUGUUGUUGGGUAGGGGAGCGUUCUGUAAGCCUGCGAAGGUGUGCUGUGAGGCAUGCUGGAGGUAUCAGAAGUGCGAAUGCUGACAUAAGUAACGAUAAAGCGGGUGAAAAGCCCGCUCGCCGGAAGACCAAGGGUUCCUGUCCAACGUUAAUCGGGGCAGGGUGAGUCGACCCCUAAGGCGAGGCCGAAAGGCGUAGUCGAUGGGAAACAGGUUAAUAUUCCUGUACUUGGUGUUACUGCGAAGGGGGGACGGAGAAGGCUAUGUUAGCCGGGCGACGGUUGUCCCGGUUUAAGCAUGUAGGCUGGUUGUCCAGGCAAAUCCGGAUAAUCAAGGCUGAGGUGUGAUGACGAGGCACUACGGUGCUGAAGUAACAAAUGCCCUGCUUCCAGGAAAAGCCUCUAAGCAUCAGGUAACAUUAAAUCGUACCCCAAACCGACACAGGUGGUCAGGUAGAGAAUACCAAGGCGCUUGAGAGAACUCGGGUGAAGGAACUAGGCAAAAUGGUGCCGUAACUUCGGGAGAAGGCACGCUGGUGUGUAGGUGAAGUCCCUGCGGAUGGAGCUGAGACCAGUCGAAGAUACCAGCUGGCUGCAACUGUUUAUUAAAAACACAGCACUGUGCAAACACGAAAGUGGACGUAUACGGUGUGACGCCUGCCCGGUGCCGGAAGGUUAAUUGAUGGGGUUAUCCGUAAGGAGAAGCUCUUGAUCGAAGCCCCGGUAAACGGCGGCCGUAACUAUAACGGUCCUAAGGUAGCGAAAUUCCUUGUCGGGUAAGUUCCGACCUGCACGAAUGGCGUAAUGAUGGCCAGGCUGUCUCCACCCGAGACUCAGUGAAAUUGAACUCGCUGUGAAGAUGCAGUGUACCCGCGGCAAGACGGAAAGACCCCGUGAACCUUUACUAUAGCUUGACACUGAACAUUGAGCCUUGAUGUGUAGGAUAGGUGGGAGGCUUUGAAGCGUGGACGCCAGUCUGCGUGGAGCCAACCUUGAAAUACCACCCUUUAAUGUUUGAUGUUCUAACGUUGGCCCCUUAUCGGGGUUGCGGACAGUGUCUGGUGGGUAGUUUGACUGGGGCGGUCUCCUCCCAAAGCGUAACGGAGGAGCACGAAGGUUAGCUAAUCCUGGUCGGACAUCAGGAGGUUAGUGCAAUGGCAUAAGCUAGCUUGACUGCGAGCGUGACGGCGCGAGCAGGUGCGAAAGCAGGUCAUAGUGAUCCGGUGGUUCUGAAUGGAAGGGCCAUCGCUCAACGGAUAAAAGGUACUCCGGGGAUAACAGGCUGAUACCGCCCAAGAGUUCAUAUCGACGGCGGUGUUUGGCACCUCGAUGUCGGCUCAUCACAUCCUGGGGCUGAAGUAGGUCCCAAGGGUAUGGCUGUUCGCCAUUUAAAGUGGUACGCGAGCUGGGUUUAGAACGUCGUGAGACAGUUCGGUCCCUAUCUGCCGUGGGCGCUGGAGAAUUGAGGGGGGCUGCUCCUAGUACGAGAGGACCGGAGUGGACGCAUCACUGGUGUUCGGGUUGUCAUGCCAAUGGCACUGCCCGGUAGCUAAAUGCGGAAGAGAUAAGUGCUGAAAGCAUCUAAGCACGAAACUUGCCCCGAGAUGAGUUCUCCCUGAGACUUUAAGUCUCCUGAAGGAACGUUGAAGACGACGACGUUGAUAGGCCGGGUGUGUAAGCGCAGCGAUGCGUUGAGCUAACCGGUACUAAUGAACCGUGAGGCUUAACCUUACAACGCCGAAG